rnacentral:rRNA from 1 species
AUUGAACGCUGGCGGCAGGCCUAACACAUGCAAGUCGAACGAGUGGCGGACGGGUGAGUAAUGUCUGGGAAACUGCCUGAUGGCGGGGGAUAACUACUGGAAACGGUAGCUAAUACCGCAUACCAUCGGAUGUGCCCAGAUGGGAUUAGCUAGUAGGUGGGGUAAAGGCGAACCUAGGCGACGAGCCAUAGCUGGUCUGAGCUGAUGACCGGCAACACGGGAACUGAGACACGGUCCAGACUCCGACGGAAGGCAGCAGUGGGGAAUAGUGAACAGUGGGCGCAAGCCUGAUGCAGCCAUGCCGCGUGUAGGAAGAAGGCCGUCGGGUUGUAAAGGACUUUAAGCGGGGAGGCGUUACCCGCAGAAGAAGCACCGGCUAACUCCGUGCCAGCAGCCGCGGUAAUUC